rnacentral:sRNA from 2 species
CAGAGUGCAAGAAGAGACCGCAGUGUAUCAACUGCCAUCAGCCCUACCCGGCAGCACCCAAGCGGGUGAACGGUAUCCUCAGGCGCCUCACUCGGCAGGAGCUCACUGCCAUCCGUCGGUUUACUGGCAGUUGUGGUGCCAUCACCUUUGGCGCGAGCACAGACGCCAGCCGCAGGCACCCCCAGGACUGCUUCCAGUGUAACGACUGCUGCUCAGAGUGCCGUCCGUCAGUGAGGAAGGCUCUGCGUGGUGGGUCGUCCUCGCCAGACAACGGGCAAGGCGCUCAACAGCCUUCAGGGCAGCCUGCCCCCAUUUCUCCACUGC